GUGGUGGCUCAGUGGUAGAGUGCUCGCCUAGCAUACAUGAGACACUGGGUUCGAUCCUCAGCACCACA
rnacentral:tRNA from 1 species